GACGAACGCUGGCGGCGCGCUUAACACAUGCAAGUCGAGCGAUGAAAUCUUAACAGAACCCUUCGGGGUGAAGAUAAGACGGAUUAGCGGCGGACGGGUGAGUAACACGUGAGUAACCUGCCUUUUACACAGGGAUAGCCUCAGGAAACCGGGAUUAAAACCUGAUGAAACUAUCAAAUCACAUGAUUAAGAAAGUUAAAACUCCGGUGGUAAAAGAUGGACUCGCGUCCCAUUAGCUAGUUGGUGAAGGUAACGGCCCACCAAGGCAACGAUGGGUAGCCGGCCUGAGAGGGUGAACGGCCACAUUGGAACUGAGAAACGGUCCAAACUCCUACGGGAGGCAGCAGUGGGGAAUACUGCACAAUGGGGGAAACCCUGAUGCAGCGACGCCGCGUGAGCGAAGAAGGCCUUCGGGUCGUAAAGCUCUUUUAUAUGGGAAGAUAAUGACGGUACCAUAAGAAAAAGCCCCGGCUAACUACGUG
rnacentral:rRNA from 1 species